AUAGGGGAGCCGGAGGGAAACCGAGUCUUAACCGGGCGUUAAGUUGCAGGGUAUAGACCCGAAACCCGGUGAUCUAGCCAUGGGCAGGUUGAAGGUUGGGUAACACUAACUGGAGGACCGAACCGACUAAUGUUGAAAAAUUAGCGGAUGACCUGUGGCUGGGGGUGAAAGGCCAAUCAAACCGGGAGAUAGCUGGUUCUCCCCGAAAGCUAUUUAGGUAGCGCCUCGUGAAUUCAUCUCCGGGGGUAGAGCACUGUUUCGGCUAGGGGGCCAUCCCGGCUUACCAACCCGAUGCAAACUGCGAAUACCGGAGAAUGUUAUCACGGGAGACACACGGCGGGUGCUAACGUCCGUCGUGAAGAGGGAAACAACCCAGACCGCCAGCUAAGGUCCCAAAGUCAUGGUUAAGUGGGAAACGAUGUGGGAAGGCCCAGACAGCCAGGAUGUUGGCUUAGAAGCAGCCAUCAUUUAAAGAAAGCGUAAUAGCUCACUGGUCGAGUCGGCCUGCGCGGAAGAUGUAACGGGGCUAAACCAUGCACCGAAGCUGCGGCAGCGACGCUGAUGCGUUGUUGGGUAGGGGAGCGUUCUGUAAGCCUGCGAAGGUGGCCUGUGAGGGUUGCUGGAGGUAUCAGAAGUGCGAAUGCUGACAUAAGUAACGAUAAAGCGGGUGAAAAGCCCGCUCGCCGGAAGACCAAGGGUUCCUGUCCAACGUUAAUCGGGGCAGGGUGAGUCGACCCCUAAGGCGAGGCCGAAAGGCGUAGUCGAUGGGAAACGGGUUAAUAUUCCCGUACUUGGUGUUACUGCGAAGGGGGGACGGAGAAGGCUAUGUUGGCCGGGCGACGGUUGUCCCGGUUUAAGCGUGUAGGUGUGUGUUCCAGGUAAAUCCGGUUCACUUUAACACUGAGGCGUGAUGACGAGGCACUACGGUGCUGAAGCAACAAAUGCCCUGCUUCCAGGAAAAGCCUCUAAGCAUCAGGUAACAUCAAAUCGUACCCCAAACCGACACAGGUGGUCAGGUAGAGAAUACCAAGGCGCUUGAGAGAACUCGGGUGAAGGAACUAGGCAAAAUGGUGCCGUAACUUCGGGAGAAGGCACGCUGACACGUAGGUGAAGUGAUUUACUCAUGGAGCUGAAGUCAGUCGAAGAUACCAGCUGGCUGCAACUGUUUAUUAAAAACACAGCACUGUGCAAACACGAAAGUGGACGUAUACGGUGUGACGCCUGCCCGGUGCCGGAAGGUUAAUUGAUGGGGUCAGCGCAAGCGAAGCUCCUGAUCGAAGCCCCGGUAAACGGCGGCCGUAACUAUAACGGUCCUAAGGUAGCGAAAUUCCUUGUCGGGUAAGUUCCGACCUGCACGAAUGGCGUAAUGAUGGCCAGGCUGUCUCCACCCGAGACUCAGUGAAAUUGAACUCGCUGUGAAGAUGCAGUGUACCCGCGGCAAGACGGAAAGACCCCGUGAACCUUUACUAUAGCUUGACACUGAACAUUGAGCCUUGAUGUGUAGGAUAGGUGGGAGGCUUUGAAGUGUGGACGCCAGUCUGCAUGGAGCCGACCUUGAAAUACCACCCUUUAAUGUUUGAUGUUCUAACGUGGACCCGUGAUCCGGGUUGCGGACAGUGUCUGGUGGGUAGUUUGACUGGGGCGGUCUCCUCCUAAAGAGUAACGGAGGAGCACGAAGGUUGGCUAAUCCUGGUCGGACAUCAGGAGGUUAGUGCAAUGGCAUAAGCCAGCUUGACUGCGAGCGUGACGGCGCGAGCAGGUGCGAAAGCAGGUCAUAGUGAUCCGGUGGUUCUGAAUGGAAGGGCCAUCGCUCAACGGAUAAAAGGUACUCCGGGGAUAACAGGCUGAUACCGCCCAAGAGUUCAUAUCGACGGCGGUGUUUGGCACCUCGAUGUCGGCUCAUCACAUCCUGGGGCUGAAGUAGGUCCCAAGGGUAUGGCUGUUCGCCAUUUAAAGUGGUACGCGAGCUGGGUUUAGAACGUCGUGAGACAGUUCGGUCCCUAUCUGCCGUGGGCG
rnacentral:rRNA from 1 species